rnacentral:rRNA from 1 species
GAUGAACGCUGGCGGCGUGCCUAAUACAUGCAAGUCGAGCGAACGGACGAGAAGCUUGCUUCUCUGAUGUUAGCGGCGGACGGGUGAGUAACACGUGGAUAACCUACCUAUAAGACUGGGAUAACUUCGGGAAACCGGAGCUAAUACCGGAUGAUAUUUUGAACCGCAUGGUUCAAAAGUGAAAGACGGUCUUGCUGUCACUUAUAGAUGGAUCCUCGCUGCAUUAGCUAGUUGGUAAGGUAACUGCUUACCAAGGCAACGAUGCAUAGCCGACCUGAGAGGGUGAUCGGCAACACUGGAACGGAGACACGGUCCAGACUACUACGGGAGGCAGCAGUAGGGAAUCUUACGCAAUGGGCGAAAGCAUGACGGAGCAACGCCGCGUGAGUGAUGAAGGUCUUAGGAUCGUAAAACUCUGUUAUUAGGGAAGAACAUAUGUGUAAGUAACUGUGCACAUCUUGACGGUACCUAAUCAGAAAGCCACGGCUAACUACGUG